rnacentral:tRNA from 2 species
AGGCCCUUAGUGCAGCGGCUAGCACCACGGUCUCCAAAACCGUUAACGAAGGUUCGAGUCCUUCAGGGCCUGCCA